rnacentral:rRNA from 1 species
CAAUAGCGUAUAUUAAAGUUGUUGCAGUUAAAAGCUCGUAGUUGAACCUUGGGCUAGGUUGAUCGGUCUGCCGAAAGGCACGUACUGAAUUGCCUGGUCUUUCCUUCUGUGGACCUUCGUCUUCGGGCGUGGGAUAAACAGAACUUUUACUUUAAAAAUUAAGAGUGUUUAAAGCAGGCUUACGCUUGAAUACAUUAGCAUGGAAUAAUGAAAUAGGACUUUGGUACUAUUUUGUUGGUUUUCAGGACCAAAGUAAUGAUUAAUAGGGAUAGUUGGGGGCAUUAGUAUUGCGGAGUCAGAGGUGAAAUUCUUGGAUUUCCGCAAGACAAACAACUGCGAAAGCAUUUGCCAAGGAUGUUUUCAUUAAUCAAGAACGAAAGUUAGGGGAUCGAAGAUGAUCAGAUACCGU